rnacentral:lncRNA from 1 species
AUGAAAGGAACCUCAGAGAAGAAGUGGAGAAAAUUUUGUCAGCAAAUGGCUCCCUGUAAUUCCAAAUCUUUGAGGGGAAGCCUACCCUUUUUCUCAUGUUAUUGUCUCUCUCAUUCCCAAGUUGCAUUUACUUUUUAUGAUAUCUACAUGAUCAAAUUUUAUUUCCUUUCCUUUCUGAGGUCCAUAAAGGACCAGUUCCCUGCUUCAGCCAAGCAACAACUUUACAUCUCUACAUGGUUGGUACUUACAGGUCUUAAAUCCUUAAUGUCUCCAGCUGAACUUGCAUAUAACCCCCAUACUCAGUCUUACCUCCAGUUGUAUUCCCAAGUUGCUUUGGCCAAAAGAAUGAAAAAUCAUCCUGGGAGGGGAGUAUUUUCUCCUUUGACAAUUGUCUGGUUAUCUUAUUUCAAGUUUCCUAGAUGCAAAGAUUGAGAUAGGGAUUUGGAUGCACAAAAUUCUAUGACAAGGGGGACAGUCCUUUGGAGAUUGACAGUCAUUAACUUAGUGUGUGAGUAUGAAGGAUUAAGAGUGGUAUCUAACUUUCAAGCAGGUGUUGAAUUUCUCUGUUAAAGGGAUUAGGAGUAAGCUAGCAAUGGCACCCCACUCCAGUAUUCUUGCCUGGAAAAUCCCAUGGAUAGAGGAGCCUGGAAGGCUGCAGUCCCAUGGAGUUGCUGAGGGUCAGACACGACUGAGCGACUUUACUUUCAAUUUUCACUUUCAUGCCUUGGAGAAGGAAAUGGUAACUCACUCCAGUGUAUUUGACUGGAGAAGCCCUAGGACAGGGGAGCCUGGUGGGCUGCCAUCUAUGAGGUCACACAUAGUCAGACACGACUGAAGUGACUUAGCAGCAGCAGCAGCAACCUAUUUAAACAGUACCCUGCCCAGUAGAGCAGACUUGAGUAGGCCACCAAUUUCAUGGACUACAUUCCAUGGGGUUUCAAAGAGUCAGACGCAACUGAGCAUGAAAGCAGAACCAGAGAGAGCCACAGUAUCUAUUCCAUCAACUAUAUCUAGUGGGUCACCAAGCCCAUUAACUCAAAUGUUUAAAUAAUUAUUGAUUUAGCUACAUUCCUCUAUCGUUCUAACAUUACCCUGUUCAGGGUAAUAGUUUUCCUCUUCUAAUAUAUAAUAUAUUCUACUAGUUAUUCCUCAGAAAUCCAUUAGUAGCCCUCUCUCAGUUCACUUCAGUUCAGUUCAGUUCAGUCGCUCAGUCAUGUACGACUCUUUGCAACCCCAUGAAUCGCAGCACUCCAGGCCUCCCUGUCCAUCACCAUCUCCCGGGGUUCACUCAGACUCGCGUCCAUCGAGUCAGUGAUGCCAUCCAGCCAUCUCAUCCUCUGUCGUCCCCUUCUCCUGCCCCCAAUCCUUCCCAGCAUCAGAGUCUUUUCCAAUGAGUCAACUCUUCGCAUGAGGUGGCCAAAGUACUGGA